rnacentral:rRNA from 1 species
UACGUAGGAGGCGAGCGUUGUCCGGAAUCACUGGGCGUAAAGGGCGCGUAGGCGGCGCGGAAAGUCGUCGGUGAAAGCUCGGGGCUCAACCCUGAGUCUGCCGGUGAUACUCCCGCGCUCGAGCUCACUAGAGGCAGAUGGAAUUCCGGGUGUAGCGGUGGAAUGCGUAGAGAUCCGGAAGAACACCGGUGGCGAAGGCGGUCUGCUGGGGUGAGGCUGACGCUGAUGCGCGACAGCGUGGGGAGCAAACAGG